AAUGGGCGCAAGCCUGAUCCAGCCAUGCCGCGUGAGUAAUGAAGGCCUUAGGGUCGUAAAGCUCUUUCGCCAGGGAUGAUAAUGACAGUACCUGGUAAAGAAACCCCGGCUAACUCCGUGCCAGCAGCCGCGGUAAUACGGAGGGGGUUAGCGUUGUUCGGAAUUACUGGGCGUAAAGCGCGCGUAGGCGGAUCAGAAAGUUGGGGGUGAAAUCCCAGGGCUCAACCCUGGAACUGCCUCCAAAACUCCUGGUCCUGAGUUCGAGAGAGGUGAGUGGAAUUCCGAGUGUAGAGGUGAAAUUCGUAGAUAUUCGGAGGAACACCAGUGGCGAAGGCGGCCCACUGGCUCGAUACUGACGCUGAGGUGCGAAAGUGUGGGGAGCAAACAGGAUU
rnacentral:rRNA from 1 species